UACGUAGGGUGCGAGCGUUGUCCGGAAUUAUUGGGCGUAAAGAGCUCGUAGGCGGUCUGUCGCGUCGGUCGUGAAAACCUGCAGCUUAACUGUGGGCGUGCGGUCGAUACGGGCAUGACUGGAGUUCGGCAGGGGAGACUGGUAUUCCUGGUGUAGCGGUGAAAUGCGCAGAUAUCAGGAGGAACACCGGUGGCGAAGGCGGGUCUCUGGGCCGAUACUGACGCUGAGGAGCGAAAGCGUGGGGAGCGAACCGG
rnacentral:rRNA from 1 species